rnacentral:tRNA from 1 species
GGGCGAUUAGCUCAGAUGGUAGAGCACUUGACUUUUAAUCAAGGUGUCGGGAGUUCGAGUCUCCUAUCGCUCA